GGCCCAAACUCUCUUAUUUGCCGCCUCUGCCUUCCAUGAUUCCAUGACAAUGGGGUUUCCUCUCCUCAUCGGACAGUUCCGUCGGCGCCGACGAGCUCGCACGGCGAGGCUCGACACCCUAACUCCAACCCAGCCAACCCCCACGCGUAGAGCCUAAUUCUAAGGCAACCUAACCCCUCGCCAUGGAGGAUGCCCUCGUGCCGCCAGUGCCUCCUGCCCACCUUGCGUCCGAGGCCGCUGCCCCAACCACCCUUUUCCUCACUCGCCGGCGAUCACAUCUCGACAGCGCCUCCUACCGCACGCUCUCCCGGCUCUUCUCCCACUGCCUCCACCACCGCUCUUCGCAGCUCGCUGCCCCGGCGCCCCUGGAAGUCCAGCCCGCCUCUGCGAACCCUAUCUCCGAAGAGUCGCCACAGGGGUGCUCGGUACCGCCUAAAGACCCGGAGUUUGGACGGGGAAAGGAUUUAGGAGAAGGGGAGGCUGCGGUAAGAACUUCUGUCAUCGAGAACCCCUCACCCGCGGUGGUCGAUGCAGCCACAGGUAACCCUAUUGCAGACCCGGAUGUGGCACCACAGAGAUCCGUGGAGCAUCAAAUGGCCGGGGUUCAGCGGGCGGAGGGCGUAAAAGAUAUGGUUGUUGGGGGAAAUGUCUGCCGUGAGACAGUUGCGUUAGUGGAGGAGUUGAUGGCAGAAGAUGUUUUGAGGUCGAUGAAGGAUUGUUUGGAGGGUGAGGUUGACGAAUUGGUAGAGCCAGAUGUAGUGGUGGUCAAUGAUGAUGACCAUCUGCUGCUUGAUACGAUGAUGACCAACUUCUCAGGGUUGAUUGCUGAUGCCAGUGGCGGCACAACGUCAAUGCUGAACAUGGCUGAGGGGGUGAAAGAAUUGGGAGCUGGAACUGAAGAAGACAGACCUGUGGGUGAUUCAGAUCAGCACUCAGUUGAUGGUGGCGUGGUUGAGGAAGGAGAGAUUGAGGGUGACAUGCAGGCUCUGGAUGUGGAUGAAUCUGAUGAUUCGGAGCUCGAAGUUGCAGGUGAUGAGGAACUGGAAGAGGAUUUUGCUAACAGAGUGUUGGAGGAGAAUGAAUCAUCUGGCCAGGGCGUACGGUGUCUGAAUUUGCUUUCAACACCUAAAAUUAAGGGAACCAGUGAUCUUGUACUGAACAAGGAAGGUUCUAUCAAGGAUGAUGCACUAAAGCAUGUUACCAGGGCGCAGGCAGUCAGUUAUGAUGAAAUUGUGGAAUGGAAUGAGACACCGCUGCAUGAUGCUGAGGCUCCCAAACAAGGGAAGAGAAAACGACUUUUGACAGAGGAAAGAAAGGCUAAGAAGACGAAAAACAAACGGGUUAAAAGAGCGCAGCAGCGGAUAGCGGAUGGUGUGAAAAAACUGAAACUCGCACCAGUUAUAAAGCCGAAACCAGUGAAGUUUUGCCAUUUCUACAUGCACGGGAAGUGCCAGCUGGGCAAUGCUUGCAAGUUCUCACAUGAUACUACACCUUUGACAAAAUCUAAGCCCUGCACACAUUUUGCGCGCGGUUCUUGUUUGAAAGGAGAUGAGUGUCCCUAUGAUCAUGAGUUGUCAAAGUACCCUUGCCACAAUUUUGUGGAAAAUGGAAUGUGCUUCAGAGGCGAUAAAUGCAAAUUCUCUCAUGUGGUGCCAACUGCAGAUUGUCCUUCCAAACCAGAUGCAAAGAAAUCUAAUGCAUCGGUGUCUGAAAAACCUGGCAGAGAGCAAAUAAGUAGUCAGAAAGCAUCAACAGUCCAUGAUGGCGAACAUGUAACUUCUGCUCCUACCAAACAUCACUCCAUCCUUAAAAACCUUGCCACCAUCUCCGUAAAUGCUCAAAAAACAUCAACGGGUAUACCAAAGGGUGUGCAGUUUCGUCCUUUAUGUAAGGACAGAUCAAAUUCUAGCAUGCUACUUCAGGAUGCUCUACCCACCGAGAAGCAUAUGUAUACAAAUGGCAGUAAACAUCAGAAUUUUGGUGGACCGCAGGCUGCAGAAGGGGAUAAAAAUGCCAAUCCAAAUAAACAGAUAUCAGCUCCACUGUUCGACGAGAACUCAUCAAAAGAAGCUAGUUCACAUCGAAGUUCAGACCCAAAGAGAACUAGUUUGCCUAUUGGUUCUACUACAGUGGUUGGAUCACUGAGCAAUCAGCACGGAGUUUCAGAGGCUUCAAGAAUUUUGCAGGAAUUCUUAUUUGGUGCUGGCAGUUAGAGGAAAAAAUUAUUAGGCUAAGAGCCACCGUGGGUACAUGAAGAUUUGUUAUUAUCAAGUCAACUGACUUCCAACUCCAUAUGGUAGUUCCAUUUAGCCAAUCAUUUGCAGCAUUGGAUCUAAGCUUACUGGUAUGAUAAAUGCCUUCUUGAAUCGGUGCUUUGAUGAGUCAUCUCUCACAUAUGAUUCAUUUUAACCACGCUUUGGAAGUUGCUCCGAGUUAAAUGAGUAUGUGGAUUUUAAAAUGUUCCCUUGUCAUAGUUGAAAUGUCAGUAUUUUUUGGUUCAUUUUGUGAGUCUUGAUACCACUCAUUUAGUGAUAAAUUGUAUAUCUCUGGUAGUAUUAGUUUAUGCUUUUUGACUUGGCAUUGCUCACUGUCACCCAAGAUAUAAUUUUGACCAUGAGUUGUAUAAUAUUUAUUUGAAACUGUUGGGCAAUUGAUUGGUCAAGUGUGCUGGUUUGCUGGUGCAACUGAUGGUCGAAAUAGUCUUAAAAACUCAUCAAUGAUGUUAUGUUUAAAUAUUUUUCUACAGUUUUCAUUUGUAUGACAUAGUAGACCACUGAUAUAAGUUGUAGUUCUUUCUCUGGAAGCACUGAAGCGUUCUGCCACCUGUGUUUUUGGGUCUUGGGAGAGCAUUUGUAGUGGAGGUUUGAAUUCUGGGCUCAGCACUAAGUUAAAAUGCAGUUUUUAUUCUAUUUUGAUGCUAAAAUGGUAUUUAGCAUUAACUGGACAGGAGCAGUCUUUUGCACCGGUUUUUGCUAGUUCUACAGGUGGCCUAAUUUUAUGAAGAGUUUUUGUGACAAUAUAUUUUCAUGGUAUAGAAGUUGUGAGAUUGUUAAAAGUAUUUUCAUUUUAUGACCGAUCUACUUGUUCACUUAUGAUUUGCGAGAUAAAUCCAAAGAUUAAAAACCAAUGUUUGAGUGCAUCCUUCCCACGGCAACAUGUUCUCUCAGACCGGUUCACAAGUAUUAGCUUUCUACUCCAUUUGUAACCGGUUCUGGUAACUGAAUUUUGAGACUUGGUCAUUGGGGUGUUACUAGUACAGUAUAACUGUUUGUGGUUCCUUCUCAAACAAAGCAUUAGCUUUCAUCCAAGAUUUCUUGUCUGGAGAAAUAUUUAUCUGCAGAGCCCUGUGGAAGUCUUGAACCAGAUCUCGUUACUUCUUUCCCUUCACUAUUGAUUGAGUGCUAAAUUAUCUGCAGUGUCGGCAUGUGACCUGAUGUUGUUUUGGUUCACAAGGCGAAGCGCUGGAAAUUUGAGGUGUCAUUAUUCAGUUCCUAACAAAGGCUGCUUUCUGAGGCACCUCUCAGGACCGCCGGAUUGUCCAGGCAAAGGGAGCAUUGGAUGGUUUGAACUUGCAUGCAUGCAUGCAGUAUCCGGGAUUAUCUCUUGGUUGAGAAUUGCUUGUGGAACUAGUCUGGAGACUGUGGGACAGUGGCAGGCAGAAUCAAAGGUGUCUCAGAAUUACAUUCACAUGAUCACUGAGGAGGCUCACAUGGCGUUUUAUCACCUCCAGAUUUGUCGCAGACAUCUGAGUUUACGCUCCUCGGUGAUUCAUAACUGGCUAUCUCAUUACACAGUCAGAUUUUUUCUUCCAAUGAUGAUGAUGCCUUUUAAACCAUGUUAUUUCGUCAUGCUGCUCAUGUCAGCUUUGAGUGGCUUGUGCCCGAGGAACUGGAUAACGCUGUGAACCAAACUGGAUAUGGUGUGAACCUAGUGAAAGCCCCCCUCCCUGAGGAUGUGAUGGACCUGAUAGGUAGCCACUUUUUUGCUUUCCCUCCUAUGGUAAGUACUCUCUAGUUGGAAAACAAAAUGCAUAUUUACGCCAGUACUUCAGGGCCCUUCUAUAUACUCCAUUCAUGGAGGAUUUGUUACCAUCUACACCUAAGGCCCUUUUUGGAUUAUCGUUUCCCUUUUGAAUACCCCUGUAAAAAAUACAGGUCUUCCCGUCUGUUUUGUUUCCAGUCGGGAAUUGCUCGGUGGCUGGUGAGAUACACCUGUAAGUUAACACCUCAGUGUAAAAUUACAUCGAUUCCGAGCGCGGCCUAAGUGUGGGUAAGGGUAUAUGGCGAAAUAUGGUUGACCAGAAAAAUAUAUGUAUGUAAUCAUUUUGUACCCAGCGUUUGUUGUGCACAUCAAGUUUGUCUUGCAGUUUGCUUUUAGUGAGUGGAGUGUAGCUUUCUGCCUUUGUGCUUGUAAUGUUCCAGCUCAUGAAUUAGCGGCUAUUGGUAGGCAUGGUGAUCUGGGUGGCCGGCAUGUAUGGCUGGUAAAUCUCCCAAACGUUGUAGCCGUUGCAGUGGCCGCCGGUUUGGUUGGUCCAUGGUGAUUGGUGAUAUGUAAUGCAAGGUGUUCCGGUUCCAAAAAAUGUAGCUGUAUUUUGAUUGUUAAGGCAAGCCUUUAAUCAACAGUUCUUAUAUUA